UUUAUGUGUCUAUAUGUAUACAUAUACGUAUAUAUGUGUGUGUGUGUAAAUAUGCACAGCAGUACUUACACUCCACUGCAUACAUAUCCAAGGACAUUUACAUGUUGUUGCUAUGGCAGGAUUCUGCUAACAUCUGAGAAAUAAAAAAAUAAAUACCACCAGAGGGCUCACAAGCUAUUUUAUUUUUUCAUGUCAACAGCUGUCUAAACCAAUGAGCGCUGGGACUUACACCUUCCUGGGAUUCAGGCUCCCAUGUUUUUGAUGUUUCUGUGCAGACAUCAAGGUGUCCAGAUGCCAAGAUUCCUUGGUCUCCACAGAUGCCUUUGUUCACAAGAUUAUUGAUGUUUGGGGUCAGGAUUUCUCUAAUGGCUCAUGACACAGGUGCAAAUGUCAUUAGAAGAAGAGUCUAGAUGAGAAUGAAAGCAUGAAAAGUUUUCAAUCUCCAUAUUUAACCACCUAAGGAGCAGAAGAGAAAAGGAAAGCAGAGAAAAGUAAAUCCACAUAAAAUAUGCUGUUCUAUUUGCUGAAAUUAAGAAGUGGAACCAGGAAGAAUAAUUACUAUAAAAUAAAAAUAUUUCUUAGUUUUGUAAAGUUGCACUCAGGACUUACUGGAAACGACUGCGGGGAGUGUGUGUGGGUGAGUACCUCUCCCAAGUAUUUCCUCCUGAAGCGCCAGCACAAAUCAAGACAACGUGUUGUCCCCCCUGCUGCACCUCUCCUAUUGCGAGGGUUGAAGAGUCCAUGCCCUCCACAAUCCUCUCCCCAGUGACACUUCUGUUUCUUGAUUUGGAUAGUAAUAUACUGUGAAUGUGGUUCCAUACGUUUUCCCACAUUUCUCUUUCACUGCAGGUUAAAGGCGUGCCCAGGUUUGGCCUUUUGGAGAAAGUUAUGACUUCACUAUCUAUUCAUGUGGACUCUUAAAUUAAAAAUUGAUUAGGCUACUUCUGUUCUUUGUUUUCUUCUUAGGAAUGACAACCUACGAGGAGGCAACCUGAAGAGCAGACACCCGGGAAGUAAAACAACAAAGUUUGCUGUGUAUACGAUGGGCUUUACUAUCUCAGCAUUAUAGAGACGUAACUGCUAAAAUGAAGUCUGGCAUUGUUUUUCUCAUGGCUGAGUGAGUGGCAGACCCUGGGGAGAAUGUAUUAGAGUUCUCAUCUUGUAACUUAACUUCUCCUUUUGUUGUUCUGCAUAAUUGCUGUCACCCAGGUAAAGCUGGAUUGUUUCUUCCAUGGUAAAUUCUCUCCCACACAACCCUUUGACCUUCAGGCAGUGAGAGCAGCAGGGUUUCUCAUCUCAUGAUUUAACUGAAGAAAAUAACUACUUGAAGAGGAAGUGCUUUGAAAUAAACAAUGUCUCUGAAUUAGAAAACUAAACA
rnacentral:lncRNA from 1 species